rnacentral:rRNA from 1 species
GAGUGGCGAACGGGUGAGUAACACGUGGGCAACCUGCCCAAAAGAGGGGGAUAACACUUGGAAACAGGUGCUAAUACCGCAUAACCAUAGUUACCGCAUGGUAACUAUGUAAAAGGUGGCUAUGCUACCGCUUUUGGAUGGGCCCGCGGUGCAUUAGCUAGUUGGUGGGGUAAAGGCUUACCAAGGCAAUGAUGCGUAGCCGAACUGAGAGGUUGAUCGGCCACAUUGGGACUGAGACACGGCCCAAACUCCUACGGGAGGCAGCAGUAGGGAAUCUUCCACAAUGGGCGAAAGCCUGAUGGAGCAACGCCGCGUGGGUGAAGAAGGUCUUCGGAUCGUAAAACCCUGUUGUUAGAGAAGAAAGUGCGUGAGAGUAACUGUUCACGUUUCGACGGUAUCUAACCAGAAAGCCACGGCUAACUACGUGCCAGCAGCCGCGGUAAUACGUAGGUGGCAAGCGUUAUCCGGAUUUAUUGGGCGUAAAGGGAACGCAGGCGGUCUUUUAAGUCUGAUGUGAAAGCCUUCGGCUUAACCGGAGUAGUGCAUUGGAAACUGGGAGACUUGAGUGCAGAAGAGGAGAGUGGAACUCCAUGUGUAGCGGUGAAAUGCGUAGAUAUAUGGAAGAACACCAGUGGCGAAAGCGGCUCUCUGGUCUGUAACUGACGCUGAGGUUCGAAAGCGUGGGUAGCAAACAGGAUUAGAUACCCUGGUAGUCCACGCCGUAAACGAUGAAUGCUAAGUGUUGGAGGGUUUCCGCCCUUCAGUGCUGCAGCUAACGCAAUAAGCAUUCCGCCUGGGGAGUACGACCGCAAGGUUGAA